AAGGUUUUAAGUUAAGUAAACUAGUAGCCUUCAAAGCUAACAUUAAAAUAAAAAUUUUAAGCCUUA
rnacentral:tRNA from 1 species